AGGUGGUGCAUGGUUGUCGUCAGCUCGUGUCGUGAGAUGUUGGGUUAAGUCCCGCAACGAGCGCAACCCUCGACCUUAGUUGCCAGCAUUCAGUUGGGCACUCUAAGGUGACUGCCGGCUAAAAGUCGGAGGAAGGUGGGGAUGACGUCAAAUCAUCAUGCCCCUUAUGACCUGGGCUACACACGUGCUACAAUGGGCGGUACAAAGGGCCGCGAACCCGCGAGGGGGAGCCAAUCCCAAAAAGCCGCUCUCAGUUCGGAUUGCAGGCUGCAACUCGCCUGCAUGAAGCCGGAAUCGCUAGUAAUCGCGGAUCAGCAUGCCGCGGUGAAUACGUUCCCGGGCCUU
rnacentral:rRNA from 1 species